UACGAAGGGGGCUAGCGUUGCUCGGAAUCACUGGGCGUAAAGCGCUCGUAGGCGGAUUGUUAAGUCGGGGGUGAAAUCCUGGAGCUCAACUCCAGAACUGCCUUCGAUACUGGCAAUCUUGAGUCCGGGAGAGGUGAGUGGAACUCCGAGUGUAGAGGUGAAAUUCGUAGAUAUUCGGAAGAACACCAGUGGCGAAGGCGGCUCACUGGCCCGGUACUGACGCUGAGGUGCGAAAGCCAGGGGAGCAAACGGG
rnacentral:rRNA from 1 species